UGGAGGGCAAGUCUGGUGCCAGCAGCCGCGGUAAUUCCAGCUCCAAUAGCGUAUAUUAAAGUUGUUGCAGUUAAAAAGCUCGUAGUUGAAUUUCGGAAUUUUUUUAUCGGUUGAAUCAACAGGUUUAUACUGAUUUUAAGAAUUUCUACCUUCUGGAGAACCUUAAUGUCAUUAAUUUGGUGUUUUGGGGAACCAGAACUGUUACCUUGAAAAAAUUAGAGUGUUUAAAGCAGGCUUAUGUCUGAAUAUAUUAGCAUGGAAUAAUGAAAUAGGACGGCAUGGUUCUAUUUUGUUGGUUUCUAGGAUCACCGUAAUGAUUAAUAGGGAUAGUUGGGGGCAUUAGUAUUCAAUUGUCAGAGGUGAAAUUCUUGGAUUUAUUGAAGACUAACUUCUGCGAAAGCAUUUGCCAAGGAUGUUUUCAUUAAUCAAGAACGAAAGUUAGGGGAUCGAAGACGAUCAGAUACCGUCGUAGUCUUAACCAUAA
rnacentral:rRNA from 1 species